GUAACGCGUAUGCAACCUACCCUAUACAGGGGGAUAGCCCGGAGAAAUCUGGAUUAAUAUCCCAUGGUAUCAUUUGACCGCAUGGUUAAAUGAUUAAAGAUUCAUCGGUAUAGGAUGGGCAUGCGUCUGAUUAGCUAGUUGGCGGUGUAACGGACCACCAAGGCUACGAUCAGUAGGGGUUCUGAGAGGAAGGUCCCCCACACUGGCACUGAGAUACGGGCCAGACUCC
rnacentral:rRNA from 1 species